rnacentral:rRNA from 1 species
CCUACGGGGGGCAGCAGUGGGGAAUAUUGGACAAUGGGGGCAACCCUGAUCCAGCCAUGCCGCGUGUGUGAAGAAGGCCCUCGGGUUGUAAAGCACUUUCAGUGAGGAAGAACGCCUGGUGGUUAAUACCCAUCAGGAAAGACAUCACUCACAGAAGAAGCACCGGCUAACUCCGUGCCAGCAGCCGCGGUAAUACGGAGGGUGCGAGCGUUAAUCGGAAUUACUGGGCGUAAAGCGCGCGUAGGUGGCUUGAUAAGCCGGUUGUGAAAGCCCCGGGCUCAACCUGGGAACGGCAUCCGGAACUGUCAAGCUAGAGUGCAGGAGAGGAGGGUAGAAUUCCCGGUGUAGCGGUGAAAUGCGUAGAGAUCGGGAGGAAUACCAGUGGCGAAGGCGGCCUUCUGGACUGACACUGACACUGAGGUGCGAAAGCGUGGGUAGCAAACAGGAUUAGAUACCCGGGUAGUC